GACGAACGCUGGCGGCGUGCUUAACACAUGCAAGUCGAACGGAAAGGCCCUGCUUUUGUGGGGUGCUCGAGUGGCGAACGGGUGAGUAACACGUGAGUAACCUGCCCUUGACUUUGGGAUAACUUCAGGAAACUGGGGCUAAUACCGGAUAGGAGCUCCUGCUGCAUGGUGGGGGUUGGAAAGUUUCGGCGGUUGGGGAUGGACUCGCGGCUUAUCAGCUUGUUGGUGGGAUAGUGGCUUACCAAGGCUUUGACGGGUAGCCGGCCUGAGAGGGUGACCGGCCACAUUGGGACUGAGAUACGGCCCAGACUCCUACGGGAGGCAGCAGUGGGGAAUAUUGCACAAUGGGCGGAAGCCCGAUGCAGCAACGCCGCGUGCGGGAUGACGGCCUUCGGGUUGUAAACCGCUUUCGCCUGUGACGAAGCGUGAGUGACGGUAAUGGGUAAAGAAGCACCGGCUAACUACGUGCCAGCAGCCGCGGUGAUACGUAGGGUGCGAGCGUUGUCCGGAUUUAUUGGGCGUAAAGGGCUCGUAGGUGGUUGAUCGCGUCGGAAGUGUAAUCUUGGGGCUUAACCCUGAGCGUGCUUUCGAUACGGGUUGACUUGAGGAAGGUAGGGGAGAAUGGAAUUCCUGGUGGAGCGGUGGAAUGCGCAGAUACCAGGAGGAACACCAGUGGCGAAGGCGGUUCUCUGGGCCUUUCCUGACGCUGAGGAGCGAAAGCGUGGGGAGCGAACAGGCUUAGAUACCCUGGUAGUCCACGCUGUAAACGGUGGGUACUAGGUGUGGGGUCCAUUCCACGGGUUCCGUGCCGUAGCUAACGCUUUAAGUACCCCGCCUGGGGAGUACGGCCGCAAGGCUAAAACUCAAAGGAAUUGACGGGGCCCCGCACAAGCGGCGGAGCAUGCGGAUUAAUUCGAUGCAACGCGUAGAACCUUACCUGGGUUUGACAUGGAUCGGGAGUGCUCAGAGAUGGGUGUGCCUCUUUUGGGGUCGGUUCACAGGUGGUGCAUGGCUGUCGUCAGCUCGUGUCGUGAGAUGUUGGGUUAAGUCCCGCAACGAGCGCAACCCUUGUUCACUGUUGCCAGCACGUUAUGGUGGGGACUCAGUGGAGACCGCCGGGGUCAACUCGGAGGAAGGUGGGGAUGACGUCAAGUCAUCAUGCCCCUUAUGUCCAGGGCUUCACGCAUGCUACAAUGGCUGGUACAGAGAGUGGCGAGCCUGUGAGGGUGAGCGAAUCUCGGAAAGCCGGUCUCAGUUCGGAUUGGGGUCUGCAACUCGACCUCAUGAAGUCGGAGUCGCUAGUAAUCGCAGAUCAGCAACGCUGCGGUGAAUACGUUCCC
rnacentral:rRNA from 1 species